CUUUCCAACAGUUGGUUCCACUCUGGGCGCCUGUGUCUCCGCCUGCCCUCCGCCCCCGGCCAACAGUGUCACCUCGUUCUGGUUUAUCCGAGAGCAGGAGCACCAUUGGCAGGUCACAAAGGUCAGGACCGUCUGGUGAGUACAGCUCUCCAGGGCCGAGGUCAGAGCCGGGACAAGGCAGAGACCUGGCCUGGGCGUGACGUUGCUCUAGUCGCACUAACACCUUUAACCGCACGGAGUGACGCGCCUGGAGUCGGGCACGGUGUGCGGCAGGAGGCCCGAGUCCCGAGCCGGCUCUGGGCCGACUGGUCAGUGACUGAGGUGCGUGGCCCUGUCCAGCCACGGACCCCGGCGCGGCGCGAGGACGUACAGCAGCGAGUACCCCGCGCGGCCCGGCGCCUGGUGGGGAGGAGGCCGUGGAUCCGGACCGGCGCGCUACGCACGUACGGCGUGGUCCCUGCGGGGCUAGACAAUAACCACGGAGGGGCCGGCGCUGUCCCGCCCCGGGGUCCGCCGACCUUUCUGCCCACCUGCCCUCGCUCCCUGUCGGGCCUCUGGGAGGCGCUCGCGGCCCACACUGCUGUCUGCCUUCCUCGCGGUGAAGCUGGGACAGUAACGCCCACCCCCGACUCCCCCAUGGCUCCCCUGGCCUCGGCUCAUCCUGAGCCCAGGCCCCUGUCUCUGUGCUGGGUCGGUUCUGCUCACGAAGCAGAGCCCCCAAGCUGCCUCCCCCAGUUCCUCCCGUGCCGGAGUCCACGCUCGCUUUGUGAGGGUCCCGACCCCACCGAGGGGGCCGGGCGGGCGGAGAGAGGGGCGUGGACCCAGCAGAGGAGCCAGAAGCCACAGCGAGUGAACGGCGCACCUGUGCCUACGUGGCAGCUGCGGGGGCCGCCACGGAGCCGCUGGCCCCGCCCCCGGCUGCCACGGCACGGUGGCCACGCCCCCUGCUGCCGAGGAGAGGAGACGGUGGGCCCGCCCCCGGCCGCCACUGAACGGUGCACCCCCCCCCCCCCCCCCCCCCCCGCCGCCACCGACACAGAGCCACUGGCCACGCCCCUGCUGCCGAGGAGCCGGUGGGCCCGCCCCCCGCCGCCUGCGAAGUGCCUGUCAACCGCGUCGGCGGAGCCUCUCUGCUCCCCUGUCCCGCUCAAGGUCUCCUCCAGAGGGAGAGGCCUGCUCCCCGGUCUUCCAGGAGCCACGCUGGGCCACGACCGCACUUGA
rnacentral:lncRNA from 1 species